GACGAACCGUACGAACGUUAUUCGGAAUCACUGGGCUUAGGGUGCGUAGGCGGCGCCGACAGUUGGGUGUGAAAUCCCUCGGCUCAACCGAGGAACUGCGCCCAAAACUACUGUGCUCGAGGGAGACAGAGGUGAGCGGAACUUAGGGUGGAGCGGUGAAAUGCGUUGAUAUCCUAAGGAACACCGGUGGCGAAAGCGGCUCACUGGGUCUCUUCUGACGCUGAGGCACGAAAGCUAGGGUAGCGAACGGG
rnacentral:rRNA from 1 species